AGUGAACGCUGGCGGCAUGCCUUACACAUGCAAGUCGAACGGCAGCACGGGGCAACCUGGUGGCGAGUGGCGAACGGGUGAGUAAUGCAUCGGAACGUACCUUUCAGUGGGGGAUAACGUAGCGAAAGUUACCCUAAUACCGCAUAUUCUGUGAGCAGGAAAGCAGGGGAUCGCAAGACCUUGCGCUGAUUGAGCGGCCGAUGUCAGAUUAGCUAGUUGGUGAGGUAAAGGCUCACCAAGGCGACGAUCUGUAGCGGGUCUGAGAGGAUGAUCCGCCACACUGGAACGGAGACACGGUCCAGACUCCUACGGGAGGCAGCAGUGGGGAAUUUUGGACAAUGGGGGCAACCCUGAUCCAGCCAUGCCGCGUGAGUGAAGAAGGCCUUCGGGUUGUAAAGCUCUUUCGGCCGGGAAGAAAUCGCACGGGCUAAUACCCUGUGUGGAUGACGGUACCGGAAUAAGAAGCACCGGCUAACUACGUGCCAGCCGCCGCCGUAAAAC
rnacentral:rRNA from 1 species